CUGACCGUGACGCAUGGGUGGACGUUUCCAUAAAAAACGAGCCUGUUCCCCGGAAUUACCCGGGGAUGCGUCAAUGUCAG
ncrna:unclassified sequences L4-Archaeoglobi ribosomal protein leader